rfam:Hordeum vulgare subsp. vulgare, WGS project CAJW01000000 data, contig: morex_contig_1633124
UAAAUACUCCCUCCGUCUCAAAAAAUUUGUCUUAGCUUUGUUUAAAAAUGAAUGUAUCUAAAUACUAAAACUUGACUAGAUACAUUCACAUCUAGACAAAUCUAAGACAAGAAUUUUGGGGCGAAGGGAGUAUAAC